rnacentral:lncRNA from 1 species
GGGCUGGCACGCUGGGGUCAUCCGGCAGAGGGUAGAUCCGAAAGGAGCCCUUAAACUCUCCAACCACAGAAGGAUCUUCAUUUUCAUCCGACUUGCCUCGGUACAACUUGAACGUAUCUGAGAAGUCUGUCAGGCCCUCAAAUUCUGCUACAUUUUCUAGUUCACAAUUAUAUAUCUUGAGCUUGGAAUAGCCUUUCUGAAUAUACUGUCCGCAUUUUUCA